rnacentral:rRNA from 1 species
AGGCCUCACACCUUCGGAUGAACCCAUAUGAGAUUAGCUAGUAGGUGGGAUAAAGGCUCACCUAGGCGACGAUCUCUAGCUGGUCUGAGAGGAUGAUCAGCCACACUGGGACUGAGACACGGCCUAGACUCCUACGGGAGGCAGCAGUGGGGAAUAUUGCACAAUGGGCGCAAGCUUGAUGCAGCCAUGCCGCGUGUAUGAAGAAGGCCUUAGGGUUGUAAAGUACUUUCAGUUGUGAGAAAGGUGCUAAAAUUAAUAAUUUUAGCAAUUGACGUUAACGACAGAAGAAGCACCGGCUAACUCCGUGCCAGCAGCCGCGGUAAUACGGAGGGUGCAAGCGUUAAUCGGAAUUACUGGGCGUAAAGGGCACGCAGGCGGUUAAUUAAGUUGGAUGUGAAAUCCCUGGGCUUAACCUAGGAAUGGCAUUCAGGACUGGUUAGCUAGAGUCUUG